ACUAGGAUUGCAAGCUCUGUUUUUUUCUGCUUUCUGUUUGCUUGGUAAAUUUUCCUCCAUCCCUUUAUUUUUAGCCUAUGUGUUUCUUUGUGUGUGAGAUGGGUCUCUUGAAUACAGCAUACUGAUGGGUCUUGGUUCUUUAUCUAGCUUGCCAUUCUGUGUCUUUCAUUGGAAAACACAUUGAGAUUUAAGAAAGAUCAUCUUCAAGCUCUGAGAUUCUUUUCUUGGCCUAUUCUGCUGUUAAUAAUUGUGAUUUCAUUGUGAAGUUCACUCAGCUCUAACAGGUGAACAAAUAGAAGCUGAGGGUGAAGGACCUACAGCUGUCACCUUCAUCUCUUCUCAACACUGCCAGCUGUCCCCUUGGAUCUCCCAGACAGACAACAGGGUUGUAGAUGAGCAUGAGAGUGUGGAGCAGAGUUGGCGAGUGCAAGUCGAGCCCAUCAACCUGGACAGCUGUCUCCGUGCUUUCACCAGUGAGGAAGAGCUAGGGGAAGAUGAGAUAUACUACUGUUCCAAGUGUAAGACCCACUGCUUUAGCAACAAAGAAGCUGGAUCUCUGGAGGCUUCCACCCUUCCUGAUUAUUCACCUUAAGCGAUUUCAAUUUGUAAAUGAUCAGUGGAUAAAAUCACAGAAAAUUGUCAAAUUUCCUCGGGAAAGUUUUGAUCCGAG
rnacentral:lncRNA from 1 species